ensembl:lncRNA
GUUCUCAUCCUGUUCUCUUUUGUAACUUAAUAGGUGUAACUUUUAAUCAAGCUCUGGCCCUUUUAUAUUCCACCAGAUCGAUGUAACUCCCUGCCGUCUCUCAGGUGAACAAUCACCAAUUAGCUUUGCUGCUAACAACUCAUACGUAUUCUGUAAGAUAACAAUAAUCAAAUCAUUGUUGAUGAUCUAGUAAGCUAAUGAAAGCAAACUGAAUGUAGGCACAUGAAUUAGAAUGUGUGUGUCAUCACUUACCUUUUGUUGCAAUUGUUGAAUGCAAUUUUGAGACUUUUAAAAGUGUUUGUAUCCCCCAAAACACAUUUAAAAAAUGUAUGUUAUGAUCAAUUUGCCUAUUUGUUGACUUUUUACUCAGUGCGACGUCAUGGAUUGGAGGAAUGCGCACUUGUUGACAGUUCUCUCACACGCAUGAGCACGAGACACCCAACUUUCAUUGUCUACAGAUUUCCAUCCUGAUUGUAGUUUGAGAUAUUGCCAUUAUAAUUCUAACAUGCCUGACAAUAAAACCAUUUUUACAAACUGUUAAAAUCAACAAGUUUCUGUAGCCUACGAAUCUAAUCCCGAAUUUACCAAAGGCAAAUCAAUGGUUUCUCUAAGACUGAAGUGUCAGUCUGUACCGGUUCCGGUUGAACAUUACAGAGUUAUUAUGUAAUAAAAUAGUUGCAAUGUCCCCCGUUGCAUCUCGAGCUGUGAUGGUUCGCAGGUUCAUGUAGAAGUUGAAUUGUCCUCUUCUCUCAAGUUUACACUUGUCUCUCCUUAUAAAUGAAAAAGUAGCCUGUUCAGUCACUCAACUGGACCCAGGACAUUUUAAUUCAUUAAUUCAACUCUCCUCCCAGCUUCUCCUCCCACCCUUUCUCUCUCUAUCUCUCUCUCUCUCUCCCUCUCUCUCUCCUCUCUCUCUCUCUCUCUCUCUCUCUCUCUCUCUCUCUCCCUCUCUCUCUCUCUCCCUCGCUCUCUCUCUCUCUCUCUCUCUCUCUCUCUCUCUCUCUCUCUCUCUCUCUCUCUCU